rnacentral:rRNA from 1 species
GAUGAACGCUGGCGGCGUGCCUAAUACAUGCAAGUCGAGCGAACGGACGAGAAGCUUGCUUCUCUGAUGUUAGCGGCGGACGGGUGAGUAACACGUGGAUAACCUACCUAUAAGACUGGGAUAACUUCGGGAAACCGGAGCUAAUACCGGAUAAUAUUUUGAACCGCAUGGUUCAAAAGUGAAAGACGGUCUUGCUGUCACUUAUAGAUGGAUCCGCGCUGCAUUAGCUAGUUGGUAAGGUAACGGCUUACCAAGGCAACGAUGCAUAGCCGACCUGAGAGGGUGAUCGGCCACACUGGAACUGAGACACGGUCCAGACUCCUACGGGAGGCAGCAGUAGGGAAUCUUCCGCAAUGGGCGAAAGCCUGACGGAGCAACGCCGCGUGAGUGAUGAAGGUUUUCGGAUCGUAAAACUCUGUUAUUAGGGAAGAACAUAUGUGUAAGUAACUGUGCACAUCUUGACGGUACCUAAUCAGAAAGCGACGGCUAACUACGUG